UGCGUGCCAUAUGUUGGCAGAAUUUCGUACUUCUCCUAGUGGACCUGUUGUCUAGCUGCGAUUUCAGCGAGAAGCAGCAAGUAGCAACUAAAAAGCACCAUUGACAUUCAACGCCGUGUGCCAUGUUAUGGACUACGUUCUUUAUGAGACACUAUCGAAUGUAACUGCGAUUUCCGCGACAUGUCAGCAGAUAGAUACUUUAUGCCAUCUGUUGUCCUACGUCCGUACUUCGUUCUAAGGACUUUGUCUCUCACGAUAUGGAUGUAUUAUACGCUUAUGGUUGAAGAAACGAACCAAGAAGCUAAUUUUUUCUGAGAAAAAUUUUAUACUCGGUUGAGAAUUGGUGCAGCUGAGGAUGUGAAUAUCGAGUAAAGGUUGUGCUAAUCGACAGACCUAUGGAAACCCUUCAAUUUUCGUGACAGUUUAAACACACUCAUCAUAAAAGCUAAAACUGCAGGUGGGACUCAGCAGCAUCAGCGUAUCCCUUAAAGAUGGCAUAGUGAUGGAUCACCGAAAUAUGGAGUAAUGUUGCUUUUAGGAUCCUGCAACAAACCCAAGACAGGACUACCAAGAAUCCGUUAAGUUACAGGUUUCCUGUUUUAUCACUGCAAGCCUGGGCAGAAGCUUGUCCUGCCUCCAGCAGCUAUUCUACCUUUUUCCAAAACAUUUGCAUCUCUUUGUAAGUAUUCAUGGAAAUCUCUAUUACGUCUUGUUGUUUGACAAGACCCAAGUUUUCUGUCAGAAAGUGAUACUGCAAACAAUCAUUUGUCAUAUCACUAAAAUCUGGAUUGUAGGUCAUUCAAUAGAAGUUGACAUCUUCACAGUAUUGUAAUUUAAAGUUGUGAAAACUCUCAAAGACUGGCAUUCAAAAAUAGUCUCCCACGAGAAAUGAGGCAAUAGACUACAAGUUGUGCUGUCUGUUGGGUAUUUGGUUGCACUUUUUUGUUACUGAUAAGCUAUGUAUGGUAUGUGUUUCUAAUUGUGAUUUUCACAAAUUCUAGAGAUGGAAUCAAUGUGUAUAUUAAGGCACAUGCUUGACAUAACAAACCCCCUGCAAACUGACAAAUUUAAUAGAAGUGCCUAGGAAAAAUGUGAAUGAUCUUUUUUUCCUUAUCCAGAUGCAGUCUGAAAAUAUUUACCAAGAUCUUUUACUUUACUAUCACAAUUAUGCAUACUCUAUGUGAGGGAAUUAAACAGAUUUUGUUAGUUAGGUCUGAACUGCUAAUGUAAAAGUAAUAUUUAGUAACUGGUGAGAUUCAAACAUCAGGCUGAAGUAGUGGCUAUGUCCAACAUGUGAAAACAACAGGACAGAUUAAUCUGUAUGGAUUAAGUUCUCAACAUGCUUUCAUUUAACCAGAAACAAAAAAUAAAAGAGCCAAUACCAGUAUUUAUUAGUAGAAACCUCAUCAACUUUACAUGAAGGGCCAGGGAAAAAGAGAGCAGGCAACCUCUUUUUGAGUAGUUGUUAUAGCUCUAUUCAGACUGAUCAUACGCACCUGUUGAGAGGCUAAAAUUGAAGGUGGGGAGCCUCAGGUGAGUCCAGAGAUAUUAGCAUACAAAGUUUUACCAUAAAGGGAAAGAACCAGGUAAGCCAAUUUUUCAGGGGAAGGAAGGAGGCAAAUCAGUGGUGACAUGAGAGGCCAAAGUAAACGUAAGGUCACCAAAAAUAUGCAGAUAUGUGCAGAAAAGUCUAAAAACAAGUGGAUGUGUGUACUUUGACAAAAGAGGAAAGCAUCCUACUUUCUUCAACCGAGAAUCAUCAUAGCUCGAAGAGCCACUGCAGCCUCAGAUUCCGAGAAAACCAACUUGACUGAAAAUCUAAAUAUAAAGAGCAUGUGCAAUACUUUUAAUCAAAUUCAUCCUGGCACAUUUGUAUUAUAUGACAUUUCACAAUGCUUUUCGAACACAAAAUCCAAUGCUUUGUUUGGAUAUCCUUGUGCUGACACUUGGGCUGAGUGUGAGGUAUUCACAACAAAAAUGAAAACUUUAACAAUGGAGAAAUGUAAGGCACAAACUCGUCAGUUAACAACAAACAUUCCUCACAUGAAAAAAAAGCUGAAGUGUUUGAUGAUUUGAAAAUGAGCUCCAAAUUGCAGGUGAAGAAAAUUAACAAGAAGACGGCUAUCUGCACAUACUGCAAUAAAUGUGCCCCUUCAAAAUAUAGCAUGUGAUGACCUUCACUUUACAUGGCAAAUUUUGAUGUGCUCAUUCAAAACCCAUUUUCUUGCAACAGGUGAAUCCUUUUUUAUCUUUAUCCUGAAUGCACUGUGAAAAAGAGGGUAUGUGAAGUGAUGUCAUUCCUUUUUCACUUCAUCACUCAUGGUUUAAAUGAGGUCUCUAAAGAGCUCUGUAUAAUCUGUGGAUGAUCAAAAAUAAAUACUUAGUCUUCUUCUUCAUUCACUAGGCAACUCUCAAAUUGGCAAUCUGAAGAAGAUCACAAUUACAUUCCCUGUGUGUGGCCAUUCAUACUUAGAAUGUGACAAAAAUGUUGGAUUAUGGAACACACAGACGCUGAUUUUCAAAUGGCCGAAGAUUUCAAGGAAAUGAUCAAAGUAUGCAGAUAUAAGCCAUCCCCUUGGAUUCUGGCCAGUGUAAAUCAAGAAACUGUGUUAGACUGGAAAUCACUGCAAAAUUCCAUUUCAAAAUGCAGCCUAUUAAGAUAAUAUUGUCUGAAUCCAGCCACUACUGUGUGCUGAAAUAUCAAAGGACUUAUCAGGGUGGAAUGCAAACUGGCAUCAUAAGAGCACCAUUAUGACAACCAGAUCCGGGAUGUUUUAACUGUGCACACCUGUUUAUAAUGGUGUGCUUGAUUUCAGAAUUCCUUUUUUGUCUGAUGUACAAUAGCUUUACAGUUACCUCCUGUUCACUGUAAUAUAACAAUUGCAUUCUUUAUGCUAGAUUUCCAGGCUAGAAUGUAACAUUUGCAAACUGUGGCAACCUUCACAGCAGCAAGAUGACAAAACUUCAGCUUCUCCAUAGCUAAAUAUGAGUGAAGUUUGAUUGCAUUUUUGGAAAUUAUCUCGUUCUGGGAACACAAUGGAUGCCAAUAACACAAUUUUCACAUGCACCCAACCAAGAAGUUUCAAUUGUGACAUGAAAAUUGUGUAUGUACUCAUAUACUGAUGUUACCACAAUUCAAACAUUAAAAGAUCGCUUUUU